rnacentral:rRNA from 1 species
AUGAACGCUGGCGGCGUGCCUCAUCCAUGCCAGUCGAGCGAACAGACGAGGAGCUUGCUCCUCUGACGUUAGCGGCGGACGGGUGAGUAACACGUGGAUAACCUACCUAUAAGACUGGGAUAACUUCGGGAAACCGGAGCUAAUACCGGAUAAUAUAUUGAACCGCAUGGUUCAAUAGUGAAAGACGGUUUUGCUGUCACUUAUAGAUGGAUCCGCGCCGCAUUAGCUAGUUGGUAAGGUAACGGCUUACCAAGGCGACGAUGCGUAGCCGACCUGAGAGGGUGAUCGGCCACACUGGAACUGAGACACGGUCCAGACUCCUACGGGAGGCAGCAGUAGGGAAUCUUCCGCAAUGGGCGAAAGCCUGACGGAGCAACGCCGCGUGAGUGAUGAAGGUCUUCGGAUCGUAAAACUCUGUUAUUAGGGAAGAACAAAUGUGUAAGUAACUAUGCACGUCUUGACGGUACCUAAUCAGAAAGCCACGGCUAACUACGUG